AUAUACCGGUUCUCGUUAGAUCACCGUUAAGCAUCAUUGGGCGCGGUCAGUACUUGGGUGGGUGACCACCUGGGAACACUGCGUGCCGUU